rnacentral:rRNA from 1 species
UGGGGAAUAUUGCACAAUGGGCGCAAGCCUGAUGCAGCCAUGCCGCGUGUGUGAAGAAGGCCUUCGGGUUGUAAAGCACUUUCAGCGAGGAGGAAGGUGGUGAGCUUAAUACGCUCAUCAAUUGACGUUACUCGCAGAAGAAGCACCGGCUAACUCCGUGCCAGCAGCCGCGGUAAUACGGAGGGUGCAAGCGUUAAUCGGAAUUACUGGGCGUAAAGCGCACGCAGGCGGUUUGUUAAGUCAGAUGUGAAAUCCCCGGGCUCAACCUGGGAACUGCAUUUGAAACUGGCAAGCUAGAGUCUCGUAGAGGGGGGUAGAAUUCCAGGUGUAGCGGUGAAAUGCGUAGAGAUCUGGAGGAAUACCGGUGGCGAAGGCGGCCCCCCUGGACGAAGACUGACGCUCAGGUGCGAAAGCGUGGGGCAGCAAACAGGAUUAGAUACCCUGGUAGUCCACGCUGUAAACGAUGUCGAUUUGGAGGUUGUGCCCUUGAGGCGUGGCUUCCGGAGCUAACGCGUUAAAUGACCGCCUGGGGAGUACGGCCGCAAGGUUAAAACUCAAAUGAAUUGACGGGUC